rnacentral:rRNA from 1 species
UACAUGGGGUGCAAACGUUGCUCGGAAUUAUUGGGCGUAAAGCGCACGUAGGCGGUUCGUUAAGUCGGAUGUGAAAGCCCUCGGCUCAACUGAGGAAGUGCACCCGAAACUGGCGAGCUUUGAGUACGAAAGAGGAUCGCGGAAUUCCCGGUGUAGAGGUGAAAUUCGUAGAUAUCAGGAGGGAACACCGGUGGCGAAGGCGGUUCUCUGGGGCAUGUUCUGACGU